rnacentral:lncRNA from 13 species
ACUCAGCCAGACUGCAGAUGUAUUAGUAAGGCCUUGCAGUUAGUUCCAGGGGAUAGCAGAGAUGGGAUCUCACUCUGUCUCCCAUGUUGGAGUAUAUUGGUGUGAUCAUAGCUCAUUACAGUCUCAAAUUCCUGGACUCAAGCAAUCCUCCUGUCUCAGCCCUCUGAGUAGCUGGGGCUACAGGUUUGGGAAGGAGUGAGAAGUGCCCAGCACCCAAGCAGGCAAAGGGAUCACUGCCUCCCCAGGGCCACCGACUUCCUGGACUUAAACCCUUG